CUUCAGUGCCGCCCAGGAUUAAUGGAACGAUGACGUUUCGUGACACGCCGCACUCCACGUUCUGAUUGGCCGCCGCUUUGGAAACCGUUGGGCGUCCACAUUACAAAGAAGUGGCAACACUGGAGGUGAUGAAAUUACGCCAACUGGAAGCAACCCCAAAAAAUCGGGCAAUUUGACCAUUUGACUCAAAAAAGUUCCAUUUUUCCAACUGAAAAAUCCACAUUACAUUGGCGAAGAUGCGGCGUGGCAACCACGCAUUGUCCGAACUGGACUUGACAGUAUGUAUUUUGAAAAAUCCUCAAUUGUUCACAAAAUCCACAUCUUCAACGUAAAUAUAAAUGGCAACGCUGUA